GCAAUUAUAGUUUAAUGGUAAAACCCUCGUCUUCCAAAUGAGUUUCGUCGGUUCAAGUCCGACUAAUUGUA
rnacentral:tRNA from 1 species